rnacentral:rRNA from 1 species
AUUGAACGCUGGCGGCAUGCCUUACACAUGCAAGUCGAACGGUAACAGGUCUUCGAUGGUGGCCGAUGGGGGACGGGUGAGGAAUUCAAUCGAAAGUGCCCGGACCGGGGGGGAAACGGGAGGGAAGGCUUGCUAAAACCCCCUACGAACCUCGGGAGAAAGCCGGGGACCGCAAGGGCUUUCGGCGGCCGGGCGGGCGAUGGCAGAUUAGGUAGUUGGUGGGAUAAAAGCUUACCAAGCCGACGAUCUGUAGCUGGUCUGAGAGGACGACCAGCCACACUGGGACUGAGACACGGCCCAGACUCCUACGGGAGGCAGCAGUGGGGAAUUUUGGACAAUGGGCGAAAGCCUGAUCCAGCCAUGCCGCGUGCAGGAUGAAGGCCUUCGGGUUGUAAACUGCUUUUGUACGGAACGAAAAGACUCUUUCUAAUAAAGAGGGUCCAUGACGGUACCGUAAGAAUAAGCACCGGCUAACUACGUG